rnacentral:rRNA from 1 species
GACGAACGCUGGCGGCGUGCCUAAUACAUGCAAGUUGAGCGCUGAAGGUUGGUACUUGUACCAACUGGAUGAGCAGCGAACGGGUGAGUAACGCGUGGGGAAUCUGCCUUUGAGCGGGGGACAACAUUUGGAAACGAAUGCUAAUACCGCAUAAAAACUUUAAACACAAGUUUUAAGUUCGAAAGAUGCAAUUGCAUCACUCAAAGAUGAUCCCGCGUUGUAUUAGCUAGUUGGUGAGGUAAAGGCUCACCAAGGCGAUGAUACAUAGCCGACCUGAGAGGGUGAUCGGCCACAUUGGGACUGAGACACGGCCCAAACUCCUACGGGAGGCAGCAGUAGGGAAUCUUCGGCAAUGGACGAAAGUCUGACCGAGCAACGCCGCGUGACUGAAGAAGGUUUUCGGAUCGUAAAACUCUGUUGGUAGAGAAGAACGUUGGUGAGAGUGGAAAGCUCAUCAAGUGACGGUAACUACCCAGAAAGGGACGGCUAACUACGUG